UAAGAGAAAAUUAGUGGUUGAAUUAUUAUUAGGAUUCCUACACGUUGCUGCCAACCGUUAACGGUUACCUCCGGCAACAGCCAAUACAUCUCCCGCCAAUUUAUUUCUACUGAAAACGAAUCCUUUCCGUGUCUACAAACUCAGAAUUCAAACACCAUUUCCAAUUUCUCGCUCUUGCAGAAAUGCACCCGCAUCCAAUCUCUUACACGAACUUAUAUUGGUCAUACUCCAUCUCUACACCACCCACCAUCCAUUUGAUAAAAGUCCUCAAAGAACGAAACUUUCAUAGUGACCCACCAAUUCUUGGUAUUCAUUCAUCCAACUUGAGCUCUGACCUGAUUCCAGUGGGCCCUAAGAGGCAUACUAAGAAGGAGUUGUCUCGGUUUCUGAGGACGGAUGCUGCUAUAAAGGCUAUAGAGCAAAAGGCUGACUCGAGUAAGUAUAAUAGGCUUUGGCCUAAGGCUGUCUUGGAGGCUCUUGAUGAUGCUAUAAAGGAAAGGCGCUGGAAAUCUGCUCUUAAGAUUUUCGAGCUUCUUCGUAAACAACACUGGUAUGAGCCAAGAUGCCAAACAUACACAAAGUUGUUGAUGAUGCUUGGUAAGUGCAGGCAACCUGAGGAGGCUAGGCUGCUUUUUGAGGUCAUGCAGACUGAAGGCCUCCGACCCACUAUUGAUGUUUAUACUGCUCUUGUUAGUGCUUAUGGAGAAAGUGGCCUACUUGCCAAGGCAUUUUCAACUGUUGAUGAAAUGAAAUCAGUCAGUGACUGUAAACCAGAUGUAUAUACCUAUUCUGUCCUAAUAAAUAUUUGCACUAAGCUCCAUCGCUUUGACCUGAUUGGAAGAAUUCUUUCUGAGAUGUCAUAUCUGGGAGUUGAAUGCAGCACCGUCACAUUCAACACUAUUAUCAAUGGAUAUGGUAAGGCUAAAAUGUUUCGAGAAAUGGAGAACUCACUGACAAAUAUGAUUGAAAUUGGCAACUCAGUUCCAGAUCUUUUCACAUUUAAUUCUGUCAUUGGGGCUUAUGGGAACAGUGGCCGAAUCGAAAAAAUGGAGAAGUGGUAUAAUGAAUUUCAGCUAAUGGGAAUAAGCCCAGACAUUAAGACAUUUAAUAUCCUGAUAAAAUCAUAUGGAAAAGCAGGCAUGUAUGAGAAGAUAAACUCUGUUAUAGAAUUUAUGAAGAAAAGGUUCUUCCCUCCAACUGUUGUCACUUAUAAUAUUAUUAUUGAGACAUUUGGAAGGGCUGGUGACAUUGAGAAUAUGGAUGAGUACUUCAAAACAAUGAAGCAUCUGGGAAUGAAGCCUAAUGCUAUUACCUAUUGUUCUCUUGUUAGUGCUUAUAGCAAAGCUGGACUUCUUAUGAAGGUUAAUUCAAUUUUAAGACAAGUAGAGAACUCUGAUGUAGUACUAGAUACCACUUUCUUUAACUGUAUCAUCAAUGCCUAUGGUCAGGCUGGUGAUGUAGAUAAAAUGGCUGAAUUGUUUCUGGAAAUGAGGGAAAGAGAAUGCAUGCCUGACAAUGUUACUUUUGCAACGAUGAUCCAAGCCUAUAGAGGGCAAGGAAUGACUGAAGCUGCUCAAGCUUUGGAAAAAAUGAUGCUUGCAGCAAAGGGAAACUCAGGAGGAACAUGGAUGAUUGAAGCCUAGCUGAGGAGAGACUUGGAAAGAGAUUUUCCCUGUGGCUGCUUCUGCAGUAGGGGGGUAAUUUCUUCUUUAAUCAACCUAUGCUUACUUCAUAAAGCAUAUACAGCCAUCUUUCACUUCAUGAGGCAGUCAAUAGGCAGUUCUAAGUCUAUCAGUUCCAAGUCUGUUAUACUUCUUCCAUUUGAUGACGCCAAUCUGCAUAUUCUACUAUCGGAAACUGUAUUUAGAUUUGGUACAAAGUCAGACUGGAGUUCCAUGAGGGAAGGUUUGGUACAUUCUUGUGCUUCACUCUAUAUAAGCAAUGAAUAAACAAGCACAUUUUCUUUUGGUCUCAUCCCACUCCACUACUUGCUGCUUAAAAUGCAAGCAGUUUGAAUAGCUUUCCAGGUAACUGCGUCUCGACCUUUUCAACACCAGAUGGCCAGGUUCUGGCAGAAAAGAUGAAGGAGAUAUAGAUAAAAGACAGGAUUUGACUGUGAAAUACAAUCAACUCAUAUACAAUAUUUCUCUUGUUGAUAUAUAGAUUCACAUGUACUUCUGUUCUUGCAAAUUACUGAUUUCAUGCAAUAUCAUACACUCUUAAACAAUUUGAAGAUGGACACGGUCCUAUUUGAUUGGAUUAAAAUGGUCUGCGUUGUGGGUGAAAAUACAUGAAAAGAAAUUGUUUGUUCGA